AAUUUGGAGCAACUGUAUUAAGAUGUUAUUGAUAUCUUGGACAUCAAGUUUCAUUUAUUUAUGUAUUAUGCAAGCAUAUCUAUUGGUGGAAAUGUAGAAUGGCAGCUGUUAUAACAAUUUGGAUGAAUUAUUAGAAGCACCAAAGAAGUUUUGACAUUUUAAUAACUGGGAAAAGGCUCACAAAUGACCAAUUUAUUCUACAUUAGAUACAGGACAUUAAAUUGACUUCAACAACGCACAUAUCUCUCAAAAAUGAUAUCUGUUCGAGUGAUGUACUGGGCGUUAACAGUUGCUGUUACAAAUUUGCAAAUGAGUUAGAACCGUACAUAAGUUUGAUGAAUGCCAGAGGAAUUUUUUGAAUGGAAUGAUACUGAAAAUCUUACACACAAAUGACAAUUUCAAGAUACAAUCAAUAGAACUCAGAUUGAUUGGCCUUCAUUACCAUUGCGCUAUGAAAAUGUCAGCAAUACAAAUUGGUAUUAAUGGACGUUUUGACAGCUGUUUCCAGUCCAAGUUCCAGUUAAUGGAAAAUCUUUAAUGGACACAGAAAAAUGCCAUUUACUGGAUUGACUUCAACACCUGUUGCCUUUUAAUAAUGUGAGCUGAACAAAUUGAUGGUAAUGGACAUUUUGACAGCUGCUGUCACAACUCAACGUACAAGUUGCAGCUUUGAAGGAACAUUUUUGAUUGGAUACAGAAAAAUGUCAGUCGUUUCAGGAUGUAAAGUUAAUAGAACCAGGGUUGGGCUCGACAUCUGUUGCCAUUUA